GAUGAACGCUGGCGGCGUGCCUAACACAUGCAAGUCGAGCGGCAGCGAGGGGUGCUUGCACCCUGUCGGCGAGCGGCGGACGGCUGAGUAACGCGUGGGAACGUGCCCCAAAGUGAGGAAUAACUGCCCGAAAGGGUGGCUAAUACCGCAUAUUAUCUUCGGAUCAAAGGAUUUAUCCGCUUUGGGAGCGGCUCGCGUCGGAUUAGGUAGUUGGUGAGGUAAUGGCUCACCAAGCCGACGAUCCGUAGCUGGUCUGAGAGGAUGACCAGCCAGACUGGAACUGAGACACGGUCCAGACUCCUACGGGAGGCAGCAGUGAGGAAUCUUCCACAAUGGGCGAAAGCCUGAUGGAGCAACGCCGCGUGCAGGACGAAGGCCUUCGGGUUGUAAACUGCUUUUAUAAGUGAGGAAUAUGACGGUAACUUAUGAAUAAGGAUCGGCUAACUACGUG
rnacentral:rRNA from 1 species